rnacentral:rRNA from 1 species
UCAAGUGACUAAGAGCACAUGGCGGAUGUCUUGGCGUCAAGAGGCGAUGAAGGACGUGGGAACCUGCGAAAAGUUCAGGGGAGCCGGUAACCAGGCUGUGAUCCUGAAAUGUCCGAAUGGGGAAACCCGGCCGUAAGGUCACUCUUACCUGAAUGCAUAGGGUAAGAGAGCGAACCUGGGGAACUGAAACAUCUAAGUACCCAGAGGAAAGGAAAUCAACCGAGACUCCGUGAGUAGCGGCGAGCGAAAGCGGAUUGCGACUUAAGUCAGUGAACGCGUUGGAAAGCGCGGCCAAAGAAGGUGAUAGCCCUGUAGUUGGAUGAUGUCGCUCAGCCCUAGAGUAGCGUCGGUGUCGUGAAACCCGGCGUGAACAUGGGGGGUCCACCCUCCAAGGCUAAGUACUACUUGACGACCGAUAGUUAACCAGUAAGGCGACUGAAUGAUGAAAACUACCCCUGCUAGGGGUGUGAAAGAGUAGCUGAAACCAUGUGCUUACACAGCGGUCAGAGCCCUUCGGGGUGAUGGCGUGCCUUUUGCAUAAUGACCCGGCGAGUUACUCUCAUUGGCGAGGUUAAGGCCUAGCGGGCCGAAGCCGAAGCGAAAGCGAGUCUGAAAUAGGCGUUGAGUCGAUGGGAGUAGACGCGAAACCUUGUGAUCUACCCAUGGCCAGGUUGAAGUUUUGGUAACACAAAAUGGAGGACCGAACCAGUACACGUUGAAAAGUGUUUGGAUGAGCUGUGGGUAGGGGUGAAAGGCCAAUCAAACUGGGAAAUAGCUCGUACUCCCCGAAAUGCAUUUAGGUGCAGCGUUGAGAUGAGUUUUAUAGAGGUAGAGCUACUGAUAGGGCUAGGGGGCUUCACCGCCUACCAAACCCUGACAAACUCCGAAUGCUAUAACAUAUACACGGCAGUGAGGGCAUGGGUGCUAAGGUCCAUGUCCGAGAGGGAAAGAACCCAGACCAUCAGCUAAGGUCCCAAAAUAUGUGCUAAGUUGACAAAACGAGGUCAAGCUGCUUUGACAGCUAGGAUGUUGGCUUGGAAGCAGCCAUUCAUUUAAAGAGUGCGUAACAGCUCACUAGUCGAGCGGCAUGGCAUGGAUAAUAAUCGGGCAUUAAGUACAUUACCGAAGCUAUGGGUAGAAAUACGGUAGGGGAGCAUUCCAAGGGUGUUGAAGGUGAGCUGCGAGGCUUGCUGGAACGCUUGGAAAAGCAAAUGUAGGCAUAAGUAACGAUAAGACAGGUGAGAAACCUGUCCGCCGAAAGACCAAGGAUUCCUCAGCUAUGCUAAUCAGCUGAGGGUUAGUCGGGACCUAACGCGAACCCGAAAGGGGUAGUGGAUGGCAAACAGGUUAAUAUUCCUGUACCUGCUCCUAAUGAAAGUGACGGAUCUCCGAGGUGCACACGUGGUGACGGAAGUCCACGUUGAGCCUAGCCUUCGGGCGAAGCGAGUGUAAGUAAGAGGUUCCUAGAAAAGCGAAGGAAGCAGCCCGUACCCCAAACCGACACAGGUGGUUGGGAUGAGUAUUCUAAGG